GUAUGCGCACCCAGCAGCGUGCACGUGCUGGAAGCAGGUGGAGCUGUCACUGUUUUCUGGGAUAGAGGUGGGAAAGAGGCCCUGUGAGCAUGAUGCUGCAAGUGCUUUCUAAUUUGAGCAACGUUUGUCAUAUUCAGAGUAUUGCUUUCUGUACUUGAACAGCUAUGGUGACUAUAACACUGAAAGGUUGUUAAAAUUUGUUCUUACAUUUUAUAGGAAUAUCCAUGCUUACUUAGCCACCAAAAUCUACAAAUCCGUGCAGUGUAUGUUUUUUCUGCAGUACGCAUGGCUAGUGAUGUUGUUGGGUGAGUGGGGGAGAAGUCUUGAGUGGAUUCUAUCUUGAAAAUUUCAUGCGAGUAUACUUAAAUGCCAUUACCAAAUAUAUAAAUAGAAAUACACAUAGAACAGAAGAAAGCAAUAUGACUGAAAUUAAGGCUAAAAAUCAUGCAAGUGCAGUGUCUUUUCUGACCUCUACUACAUUAGCAAGAAAAGUCCAUGUAAUUUUAAUUCAUAUGAUUUUAGCAGUACGCAGGCUUUUGGAAGCCUUACUUCAGUAUUCUUCAACCUAGAGAGGAAUUGUUUAUUAGCAGUAUGAGUGCAGUAUUGAUUGCUAUACCAUAUUUUGUGUAGACAAUGUUUUGAUUACAUGUAUUAACCAAAUGCUAAUGUCAGCUGUAAGCUACUGGUAUCGAAGGGAUUAUCUUCAUUGGCUGAUGACUACUUACCACUCCGUUGCUUAAUUUUAUUUUUUUUCCUGAAAGACAAAUCAGGGUUGGGAAUCUUAAAGGUGUUUGUCAGAUCUUUAUAUAUAAUAUUCAUCUUGAAAAAUCCUGUAGUAAGGCAUUACUUUUCUUUAACAAGCUGGUGAACAUGUAUAUGAGAGGGAAUAGCUAUAUAUAGGAUUUCUAAAAUGUCCAUUUUUCCUUGCAAAAGAAUAGGCCAUCCUAAUUAUCCAAAGAGGUGUCCAAAACAGUCUGCCACUCAAAACAGUCUGCAACUAGAGCUGACUUUUUUUUCCCUAACUCUCUGAGUAGGUUCAAACAAGUAAAGAGGCUGAGAUGCUUCUUUGAUAAAGACAUUCAUGUUGCAUCCUUAAUUAAGGAGGAGCUGUCUUGUAAUGAGGCUGGUGAAUUGACCACCACCACCUGCCAGUUUCAAUUUGUGGCUAUCUUGUAUAUUUUAUGCCUUACCUUAGGAAGGUCAGGAUUUGAUUUUGAGAAUCUAAAAUGUUUAUGUAACUUGAAAUUAAUGCAGUUUGUCCUUUAUGUAGACAAUUUGUGUCUAUUUCCUAUUGUUAUAUUAUAUUUUGUCCUUAAGUACUGAGGCUAUUAGCUUCCUAGUGGAGAAGCUACCUGUUGGUAUGUAUUUUACAUUGUCUUAAAGUCAUUAAAUUCUGAUCCUGCUUGCAGCCUUAGAAACCCGAACAUUUUAUUAUUGGUUGCAGCCAAUAAUAUGAAAUGGAGCUCUUAUUGCCAUGUACACAAUUAGCCCUUUGCAGUGUUCAGUAGUGGUUGCAGUGACCUCUGCCCAAAGUGCACCUGCGCGUUAGGAUUUGUUUCUGUUGUUACCAGAAUCUUUGUAUCUUUUGGGUUUUUAUCAUCCGUCUUAUGUGAAAAAUCAAUGUCGAAAGGGUGUGUUGAGCUGCGAGUGUAACCGUUUUCAAUGGGAAGCAAGUGACUUUUUGGAAUACACGAAGAGAAUGACUACAUGGUGAAAGUAACAGUCUUGGGAAGCCAUUUUUGCAUCUGUAUUUUGGAUAAGUAAGAUUAUUUCUGUUUGGUUCUCUCUGGCCUUGACAAAUCUGUUGUGCUAGGUGAAAUGGGAAGACUCAGUGCAAUUAAGAAGACUGACUGCCAUGAAGAACUCUGUUAGCUAAGGCCAUUGUAAGCUGUUGGUUAGAUACUCAAAACUCAACGGCAGUUUGUUUUGGGCAGAAAUAGUACACUAAAAAGGAGGGAAACUUGUUUGUAAGUUGUCAGUGUAGCAAAAGGGGUUAAUUGUUUCUGCAGGUGUGACUUCCUGCAGAGAAGAUGUAAAGAGAGAAAGGAAGGAAAUCAAAGACAGCUGCUGAGGAAAGGAUGGAGAAAUCUGGAGGAAGUAUUGCAGGUGGUGUAUUACAGGAGUGACCAGAGUGCAAGUAGGAAAGAAGUGGAAGAAGCUGGAAGAGAAGUUUCCAAGAAGUGAGAGAUCAACUGUGUCAAAGGGAACUAACAGGAUAAGCUGAUAAAGUGCUAGUUUUCAGCUUUGACUUAGGAGGUAUUUUAAACUUACGCAAGAAAAUUGUAGAGAUG